CAGGCAGAGGGAUGCGGCUGCAGCACAGGCCCAGCAGGCAGAGGCCUCGUCUGCGCUCCCCACGCAGCCGCAGGAUCAGCAUAUGGCCCGCGGUGCUGCGCCGUGCCUCGGUUUCCCCGCUGCAGACGCCAGGCGGAGGGUCGGGCUGGCUGCAGCAUCCCGAGGGCUCAGCGCGGCCUCGGACGGGGACGCAGCCCGUCCUGUUCAAAGACUCAUUCUCUGCCCCACAGCCGGUGCUGCCCCAUGGCUGGUGCUGCCCCACAGCCGGUGCUGCCCCACGGCCGGUGCUGCCCCACGGCUGGUGCUGCCCCAUGGCUGGUGCUGCCCCACAGCCGGUGCUGCCCCACGGCUGGUGCUGCCCCACGGCCGGUGCUGCCCCACAGCCGGUGCUGCCCCACGGCUGGUGCUGCCCCAUGGCCGGUGCUGCCCCACGGCUGGUGCUGCCCCACAGCCGGUGCUGCCCCACAGCCGGUGCUGCCCCACGGCUGGUGCUGCCCCACAGCCGGUGCUGCCCCACGGCCGGUGCUGCCCCACAGUAUCCCCAGCAAACCCGCCAUGGAGUGACGCCGCUGCAGCUGUGCAACAGACAACAGUAACAAAGGGAGAAGGAAAACCGCUCACAAUUAAAUAAGAGGCCACGCAUCACUCUAACUUGGAGCAGACAAGGAACACUAAGCUCUGGAAAGGGUUAAUUCCAUCCAGGUAAGUUCUCUCAGAGCUGAACAUCGCGAGGCACAUCCCUUCCUAACCGCAGACACCGUGCAGCCUUGACGGAAAGCUCUCGCUGCAAAGUCAGACUUGUUGUGAGGGACCUGCCUGCUGGAGCUGUGUCACCUGUCAGUCCCGCAGCCGCCCCCGGGGACACGGAGGCUCCGGUUACCGACAGGAACGUUCUGCUGGAGCUGGCGACAGCUCCUGGCGCAGGAGGCAUCACCAAUUCCUCCCCGAGCUAAAGAAAAGACACUUGGACUUUGAUCUCCCGGCUCCGUCUGCACCACAGGGAGACAAUGCAGGAGGCCCCGGGGGGGGAGGUGGACUCAAGACAUUCCCCAAACCAGCCUCUGUCAGCUCCCACAGUCAGAGGGACGAGGGGGGGCACGGCACCUGGAUAAAAGCAGAGACUGGCAAAGGGCAGAGCCCCCAGGAGCCGGCCUGGGCUCCGGAACGGGCAAGAGCCCGGGCAGGUGUGUUCUCUGCCCCAGUGUGAGCGAGCCCGGGCGAUGGGCCAUGAGUGCCGGCCACAGCAGGGGCUGCACAGCCAGGGGAGCUCAGACAGGAACCCGCUGCAGGGACAUCGGGGACAGGAACCCGCUGCAGGGACAUCGGGGACAGGAACCCGCUGCGGGGACAUCGGGGACAGGAACCCGCUGCGGGGACAUCGGGGACAGGAACCCGCUGCGGGGAUUGGGGGAGCUCAGACAGGAACCCGCUGCGGGGAUUGGGGGAGCUCAGACAGGAACCCACUGCGGGGACACUGGCAUGGGGUGAGAAUCCAAGGCCCAAGCCACUACAGCCCUGGGGACGGGGCUGCGCGGUGCCUGACCAGCCGGAGCUGCCGGGGCGGCAGUGGCCCGUGCCCGGGGCUCGCAGCCCCCGGCUGGCGGGAGCUCUGGCUCCAAGGUGCUCAUUCCACAACCGCGCUCCCGCUCUCCCGAGCCUGCAGCUACCUGCACAUGCAACUCAGCUAAAUUGUAAUUGGCAAACGAAAGCGAGCCAGCCCCCAUAUUUCUUUUAAUGUUUCCAAAGGAACCUGGGUGAUGUCUUUCACAUCAUACGUCGUGGGUGGCAGAGACCUAAAUAACCCCCUUCAGCACUAGAACAUGUUCAGGAGGUGCCAGUGUUCUCUCUCUGACUCAAAUUCAUCUGCAAGAUUUACAGCUUCAGACCUGACAGGCUCCAGCUCCACCAGCCGCCCAUGGAAUCCCCGUCCUGGGAGGCGUCCCCAUCGCCUCCCGCGGAGAUGUUCCGCUCUGCCGCGCAGGCUCAUCCGCUUCCCCACACCAGAUAAAAGCCUUCCUCACGUCUCUCGAGUUUCCCAUGGAAACUUCCUUCGCUUUCUGAUGGAACACGUUGUUGACUUCCAGAAGUUUGGGAAUUCCAGUGCUUGGAUUAGAGAGGAAGCAUUUCCACACUCCGAGCACACUUUAGAACAGCUUUCCCACGGAGAGCUAACUCAGGUGGUGCUUCCAGGCGCGGCCGGGUACGCGCUCUCAGCAGGGGACGGUCGGCAGGAGAUGCCCGGAGUGCAGUGGGUUGUGCGAUUUGCAGCUGUUCGGCCUCUCCCGGUGUCUCUGCUGUGCCAGCCCAGCCGGCAAUGUCCCCCUGCCCGUGAUGUCCCCCUGCCCGCGAUGUCCCCCUGCCCGCGAUGUCCCCCUGCCCGCGAUGUCCCUCUGCCCGCGAUGUCCUCCUGCCCGUAAUGUCCCCCUGCCUGAGAUGUCCCCCUGCCCAUGAUGUCCCCCUGCCCAUGAUAUCCCCCUGCCCAUGAUGUCCCCCCGCCCAUGAUGUCCCCCUGCCUGCGAUGUCCCCCUGCCCGCCGCCCGUCCCUCCCUCAGGACGCAGUCUGGGUUGUACAGGCGGGAAUGGCGGCGGCGACGGGUGUUUGUCAUUAAAUUUAACAGAGGCAGCAUUUUGCGUUGGGUUUCUCAGCCUUCCCUGGAAUCCUAGAAAGCUCCGGCCUCGCUGGGUCUACACGCCGGCCGCAGCAGCCUCCUCGGAGCAGCAGCGUGUCAUUAGCUGCAGGGAGCGUCGCAGCGGGAGGACUCAAUUGCAGCCUUCCCGGAGACAGCAAUCCAUCAUUUCAUCCCUGUCACCGGGGAUUGCUCCGCCGGGUUCAGACGCGAUUUCACACACGGAUCAGCCCCCGUCAGCGCCGGCCCGUGCCCCCCAGCCGGGCCGGGUCCUGCCAGCCCACGGAGGACAGGAUUCAAGGGAAAAAACCCAGUCCUGCUCCAGGAGCGGGCAGCGCUGCGGAAACGACCAAAGAGCCAGGCUGGAGCGACGGGCCGACGAGCGCGAUGCUCUCAGCAGCUCCUCGUCCCGCGGCGCUGGGAGCGGGCAGGGAACUGCUGUGUCCCCGCUGUCCCGCUGCCCCACAGCGCGACUCCGGCAAACGCCGCUGCUGCACUCGCCUCGGACCGGCGGUCACCCAAACGAUGCUGUUCUGACUCACAGCUGCAGGACCACACUUCAAACCGCCAGUUUUUGCACAGUGUGUUUGCAGAAAGGCACAGAAUAAACACAAGGGGUUAGCAAAGAACCUUUGGUAAGCCAGGUCCCAGCCCAAGAACAAGCCGUCCGAAGCUAAGAGGGGUGUGAAGCCAGGGAGAUGUCAGGGGGGUUGUGCACAACCAAGAGAGACCAAAGAGUCGUUCUUUCCUCAUGUCUAGUUCUGUCCUAAUAAUGAUUUAUAGCAGAGAGCAGUGGGGAUUAAAGGAUCAGUCAGGUGCUAAUAGCAGGUAUAUGUGCAAUAAAACCGCACGGUAAUAAGAAAACAAAGAGCUCUAGAAGAAUCGUGUUCUUCCACCACGUUCCAGCACAGAAAAGUGUUUUCCUGCUUCUCACCGACGGGUUCCUCUGCUGCCCUGCUCACACCCUCUUCCCGCGAAGUAUUCGCUUUAUGACCCGGCUGCUGAAGAAUCUCAACAUCUCAACGUCCAGCCAAGAGGAACUUUCUCGGUUCUCCAAGCCCAUGCACAAAAACCGCAAAGUAAAUUUCAACUGGUGCAGUUCCUGCCCCUGGGCCCCGAGCGGGGCCGGGCCCUGUCCGAUCGGUGCCACCGGACCGUCACCUGCUCUCACCCGGGAUCAGCGGCCGACAGCCAUCGGUGCCACCAGAGCAGGUUAUUUUACGGUUUCUUUGCAGCCCGGUCCCCAGCAGGCGCACCCGGCGGAUUCCGCCCGGCGAGGCGCCCGUGCUAACGCAACCCGCGGAGCGGAGAUCCCGGCGUAGCCAGGGUCAGGUGUGGUGUUUAUUCAUUGGUAUUACAAAUAUCGGUUAACCAGCAAAGCCCUGGUUCUGCAGGCAGAGACGACGAUCCCGCGGCGCUGGAGCCGAAGCAAAGGCCGUGCCUGCUCAGAACAGCUCCUGGUCACUAGGAAAGGCUCGUCCACCUUGUGCCCACAGCAAAGUCCUCCAAAGAAAAGAUCCAAAUCUGGUCCCCAGCAAGAAAAGGCUCUUUCUGGAGGUCAGGUAUAGCCCGACACUUCCACUGCACCAGAGUCCACCAGAGACACGCAGCACUUCCAGCCCUGCGAGAGGAAUCAGUUACCCAGACAGCUCAAGGAGCCCCCUCCUCGUCCUCACUGAGCGAAGCUGCUGGCAGGGACAGGGUUAACGGCGGGUGCCCGGAGCCUCCGUGGCUGCGGAGCCGGGAAGCGGGAGCGCAGCGUGGCGGUGCGGCUCUGCAAGCCCCUGCCGCGGCCGGCGCUGCUCGCACUUGCUCUUUCUCACACGCAGGGACACACAGACGGAAACGCGGAGCCCGAGCGGCACCGCUGGGCCGGGAACAGGGCGAGGCGCAGCUCCCAGCAGGUUCCCCUGCAGACCUGCAGGCACCUUUGGAAAACCACAGAACGAAGCUGCAGAUUCAAGAGGCCGAUUUCCAAAACCAAGAGUUGUAACACAAAUAUCAGAACCUGCAAGACUCAGGAACGCGGCCGGAGCUGCUGGAAGCCACCCCCGAACUGGCCGGGCCGGCUGCGGGUGCCGGCUGCAGCCCAGAGCGGGACGCGGCGCUGAGACGGGCAGUGCAGCCCGGUUUCACGUGUGGUAACGGGUGUUGCCCAGCGCUGGCGGAGGCUCGGCCGCCGGGCCGGUCGCUGCGUCCCGGGCUCCGCGCGGGCUCGGGCGGCCCUGCGUGCUCCCACACCGCGCUCUGCUGCGCGGGACGGCGGACGGAGCCCUGAUUCCGCAGCCCAAGAUGUGAGCAGAGAGGUACAGGAAGUGUUCGGCCCCAAGAAAAAGAGGAUCCAGAGCCAGUAUCACCUCAUCUCUUCACUGUCAACAUCCCCCGCGUGAGUCACGCCAGUUGCUAAAUAAAACGUGAACUGGCAAACCGAAGUGGGAAGAUGAGUGUGGCGGUGGGUGAGUCAGUGACAGCCCCGCAGGCACGGGGGCCAGGCCCUGCGCGGGACCCAGGGCUGCUGGGCAAAACCUCCUCACCGGCGCUGCUCGACGACGUGCGCGGCACAGUAAGGGGUGUGAUGAAUAAAUAACCACUGCGAACUGUUAACAAAGCAGCCAGUGAUGUUAGGCCAUGCUACCAGAGGACGUGGCGCAUCUCUCAGAUGUCUCCUGGUGCUAGAGCCGGCGCUGCCCGACGGGUUCGCCGCAGUGAGCCCGCUCAGGCGCUAAGCACCGCUCGGGCGCUAAGCACCGCUCAGGCUUAGCAAAGCCCUCGGCUGCUGUUCUGCGGGGCUGACUCUGUCCAGGAGCUGGCGAAACAAUCCAGAGCAGCGAUUGGGAGCCCGAGCCGUCCCCGGGGUGUCCACGUGCAGGUGCACACACGUGCACACACGUGCACACACGGACACUCGCGUCCCCGCCAGCAACACGCUGCUGGCGCUCGGCCCAGCUCGUAAAUCAGGGGCUGCAAUAAAAGCUGAACAACAGCAUUUCUGACAAGCAGGGCAGCAUUUACGAGCAUCUGCAGCCCUGCUCCCCUCUGACGUGGCACCGCCUCACAACCCGCCCCUGUUUGCAGGUCCUGGGCCGGGGCUGCGCCCGGAGCACAGGCAGAGCUACAGGCAGAGCUACAGGCAGAUCUGGGAGAACAGUCAGCCAACACCGGGUUUCCCGGUGUGCUCUCGGCUCUGUCCCCAGCCCGUUCCAGCGGCUGCGCGCUCAGGCGACGCGUUUCCGAUCCGUGUGCGCUCCUCGCAGACAAGGGCGGCGGUAGUUCAGUCCGACCCUUGCCCAUCUUCCCAGAAGAGAAGAGACUUUCUCACUGGGAAGAAAAAGAAAUGUUUCAUUUUCUGUGUUGUUCUGGGAAAGCGUCCAGACGCAAGGAAGGAGAAAUAAAAAAACAAGUCCCAAUAUUCCCUGUUUCAGAUCAACUGGAAAAAUAAAGUUCAUUCUUGGAAAGAGA